GCCGGACACAGUGACCCACAUCUGUAGUCCCAGUGGCUUGGGAGGCUGAGACAGGAGGAUCACAAGUUCAAAGCCAGCCUCAGCAACUCAGUGAGACCCUGUCUCUA
rnacentral:sRNA from 1 species